rnacentral:rRNA from 1 species
UUAAGCGACUAAGCGUACACGGUGGAUGCCCUGGCAGUCAGAGGCGAUGAAGGACGUGCUAAUCUGCGAAAAGCGUCGGUAAGGUGAUAUGAACCGUUAUAACCGGCGAUGUCCGAAUGGGGAAACCCAGUGCAAUUCGUUGCACUAUCGUUAACUGAAUACAUAGGUUAACGAGGCGAACCGGGGGAACUGAAACAUCUAAGUACCCCGAGGAAAAGAAAUCAACCGAGAUUCCCCCAGUAGCGGCGAGCGAACGGGGAGCAGCCCAGAGUCUGAAUCAGCUUGUGUGUUAGUGGAACGGUCUGGAAAGUCCGACGGUACAGGGUGAUAGUCCCGUACACCAAAAUGCACAGGCUGUGAACUCGAAGAGUAGGGCGGGACACGUGGUAUCCUGUCUGAAUAUGGGGGGACCAUCCUCCAAGGCUAAAUACUCCUGACUGACCGAUAGUGAACCAGUACCGUGAGGGAAAGGCGAAAAGAACCCCGGCGAGGGGAGUGAAAAAGAACCUGAAACCGUGUACGUACAAGCAGUGGGAGCACCUUCGGGUGUGACUGCGUACCUUUUGUAUAAUGGGUCAGCGACUUAUAUUCUGUAGCAAGGUUAACCGUAUAGGGGAGCCGCAGGGAAACCGAGUCUUAACUGGGCGUUAAGUUGCAGGGUAUAGACCCGAAACCCGGUGAUCUAGCCAUGGGCAGGUUGAAGGUUGGGUAACACUAACUGGAGGACCGAACCGACUAAUGUUGAAAAAUUAGCGGAUGACUUGUGGCUGGGGGUGAAAGGCCAAUCAAACCGGGAGAUAGCUGGUUCUCCCCGAAAGCUAUUUAGGUAGCGCCUCGUGAAUUCAUCUUCGGGGGUAGAGCACUGUUUCGGCUAGGGGGUCAUCCCGACUUACCAACCCGAUGCAAACUACGAAUACCGAAGAAUGUUAUCACGGGAGACACACGGCGGGUGCUAACGUCCGUCGUGAAGAGGGAAACAACCCAGACCGCCAGCUAAGGUCCCAAAGUCAUGGUUAAGUGGGAAACGAUGUGGGAAGGCACAGACAGCCAGGAUGUUGGCUUAGAAGCAGCCAUCAUUUAAAGAAAGCGUAAUAGCUCACUGGUCGAGUCGGCCUGCGCGGAAGAUGUAACGGGGCUAAACCAUGCACCGAAGCUGCGGCAGCGACACUAUGUGUUGUUGGGUAGGGGAGCGUUCUGUAAGCCUGCGAAGGUGACCUGUGAGGGUUGCUGGAGGUAUCAGAAGUGCGAAUGCUGACAUAAGUAACGAUAAAGCGGGUGAAAAGCCCGCUCGCCGGAAGACCAAGGGUUCCUGUCCAACGUUAAUCGGGGCAGGGUGAGUCGACCCCUAAGGCGAGGCCGAAAGGCGUAGUCGAUGGGAAACAGGUUAAUAUUCCUGUACUUGGUGUUACUGCGAAGGGGGGACGGAGAAGGCUAUGUUAGCCGGGCGACGGUUGUCCCGGUUUAAGCAUGUAGGCUGGUUAUCCAGGCAAAUCCGGAUAAUCAAGGCUGAGGUGUGAUGACGAGGCACUACGGUGCUGAAGUAACAAAUGCCCUGCUUCCAGGAAAAGUCUCUAAGCAUCAGGUAACAUCAAAUCGUACCCCAAACCGACACAGGUGGUCAGGUAGAGAAUACCAAGGCGCUUGAGAGAACUCGGGUGAAGGAACUAGGCAAAAUGGUGCCGUAACUUCGGGAGAAGGCACGCUGGUGUGUAGGUGAAGCCCCUGCGGGUGGAGCUGAGACCAGUCGAAGAUACCAGCUGGCUGCAACUGUUUAUUAAAAACACAGCACUGUGCAAACACGAAAGUGGACGUAUACGGUGUGACGCCUGCCCGGUGCCGGAAGGUUAAUUGAUGGGGUUAUCCGUAAGGAGAAGCUCUUGAUCGAAGCCCCGGUAAACGGCGGCCGUAACUAUAACGGUCCUAAGGUAGCGAAAUUCCUUGUCGGGUAAGUUCCGACCUGCACGAAUGGCGUAAUGAUGGCCAGGCUGUCUCCACCCGAGACUCAGUGAAAUUGAACUCGCUGUGAAGAUGCAGUGUACCCGCGGCAAGACGGAAAGACCCCGUGAACCUUUACUAUAGCUUGACACUGAACAUUGAGCCUUGAUGUGUAGGAUAGGUGGGAGGCUUUGAAGCGUGGACGCCAGUCUGCGUGGAGCCAACCUUGAAAUACCACCCUUUAAUGUUUGAUGUUCUAACGUUGGCCCCUGACCGGGGUUGCGGACAGUGUCUGGUGGGUAGUUUGACUGGGGCGGUCUCCUCCCAAAGCGUAACGGAGGAGCACGAAGGUUAGCUAAUCCUGGUCGGACAUCAGGAGGUUAGUGCAAUGGCAUAAGCUAGCUUGACUGCGAGCGUGACGGCGCGAGCAGGUGCGAAAGCAGGUCAUAGUGAUCCGGUGGUUCUGAAUGGAAGGGCCAUCGCUCAACGGAUAAAAGGUACUCCGGGGAUAACAGGCUGAUACCGCCCAAGAGUUCAUAUCGACGGCGGUGUUUGGCACCUCGAUGUCGGCUCAUCACAUCCUGGGGCUGAAGUAGGUCCCAAGGGUAUGGCUGUUCGCCAUUUAAAGUGGUACGCGAGCUGGGUUUAGAACGUCGUGAGACAGUUCGGUCCCUAUCUGCCGUGGGCGCUGGAGAAUUGAGGGGGGCUGCUCCUAGUACGAGAGGACCGGAGUGGACGCAUCACUGGUGUUCGGGUUGUCAUGCCAAUGGCACUGCCCGGUAGCUAAAUGCGGAAGAGAUAAGUGCUGAAAGCAUCUAAGCACGAAACUUGCCCCGAGAUGAGUUCUCCCUGAGACUAUAAGUCUCCUGAAGGAACGUUAAAGACGAUGACGUUGAUAGGCCGGGUGUGUAAGCGCAGCGAUGCGUUGAGCUAACCGGUACUAAUGAACCGUGAGGCUUAACCUU